AGGUGGUGUGGGUGAUACCGGCUGUACUGUUGGAGCUUGGACUCAGAGAGGAAUGGUAGAGGGUAAACCUUAGGAGGAACCGGUCACAGGAAAGAGCUCCUUCUGGAACUGUCAAGCACUCGCUGAAACGCAGUGUACAACACGGGACUUCACGACCAGAGCUCCUUUUGGCAAGGUGAGU